rnacentral:tRNA from 1 species
GGUAGGUUGGCCAGUGGUCAGAGCAUAGGUCUCGUAACCGAAAGGUCGCGGGAUCGAAUCCCGCUAGAGGCUG